rnacentral:tRNA from 1 species
GCAGUUGUAGCUCAAUUGGAUAGAGCGGCGGCCUACGGAGCCGCAGGUUGCAGGUUCGAGCCCUGCCAACUGCA